UACGUAGGGUGCAAGCGUUAAUCGGAAUUACUGGGCGUAAAGCGUGCGCAGGCGGUUUUGUAAGUCUGUCGUGAAAGCCCCGGGCUCAACCUGGGAAUUGCGAUGGAGACUGCAAGGCUUGAAUCUGGCAGAGGGGGGUAGAAUUCCACGUGUAGCAGUGAAAUGCGUAGAGAUGUGGAGGAACAUCGAUGGCGAAGGCAGCCCCCUGGGUCAAGAUUGACGCUCAUGCACGAAAGCGUGGGGAGCAAACAGG
rnacentral:rRNA from 1 species